rnacentral:tRNA from 1 species
UGGGGGAUAGUGUAAUGGUAGCACGCUGGACCCUGGGUCCUCAAUCGUGAGAUUCUCAACCUAGUAGUGAGGGUUCGAGUCACUCUCCCCCAG